rnacentral:ncRNA from 1 species
GCCGAGGAGCGUUGCGACAGAAUCACCUUUCUGCCAGGCUCGGCCAGCGACGUCUGUGAACACGCAACGGCGCUCGG